GACGAACGCUGGCGGCGUGCCUAAUACAUGCAAGUAGAACGCACAGUUUAUACCGUAGCUUGCUACACCAUAGACUGUGAGUUGCGAACGGGUGAGUAACGCGUAGGUAACCUGCCUGGUAGCGGGGGAUAACUAUUGGAAACGAUAGCUAAUACCGCAUAAUAUUGAUUAUUGCAUGAUAAUUGAUUGAAAGAUGCUAUUGCAUCACUACCAGAUGGACCUGCGUUGUAUUAGCUAGUAGGUGAGGUAACGGCUCACCUAGGCGACGAUACAUAGCCGACCUGAGAGGGUGAUCGGCCACACUGGGACUGAGACACGGCCCAGACUCCUACGGGAGGCAGCAGUAGGGAAUCUUCGGCAAUGGACGAAAGUCUGGCCGAGCAACGCCGCGUGAGUGAAGAAGGUUUUCGGAUCGUAAAGCUCUGUUGUAAGAGAAGAACGGGUGUGAGAGUGGAAAGUUCACACUGUGACGGUAUCUUACCAGAAAGGGACGGCUAACUACGUG
rnacentral:rRNA from 1 species